GACGAACGCUGGCGGCGUGCCUAAUACAUGCAAGUAGAACGCUGAAGGAGGAGCUUGCUCUUCUGGAUGAGUUGCGAACGGGUGAGUAACGCGUAGGUAACCUGCCUGGUAGCGGGGGAUAACUAUUGGAAACGAUAGCUAAUACCGCAUAACAGUAGAUGUUGCAUGACAUUUACUUAAAAGGUGCAAUUGCAUCACUACCAGAUGGACCUGCGUUGUAUUAGCUAGUUGGUGGGGUAACGGCUCACCAAGGCGACGAUACAUAGCCGACCUGAGAGGGUGAUCGGCCACACUGGGACUGAAACACGGCCCAGACGCCUACGGGAGGCAGCAGUAGGGAAUCUUCGGCAAUGGACGGAAGUCUGACCGAGCAACGCCGCGGGAGGGAAGAAGGUUUUCGGAUCGUAAAGCUCUGUUGUAAGAGAAGAACGAGUGUGAGAGUGGAAAGUUCACACUGUGACGGUAUCUUACCAGAAAGGGACGGCUAACUACGUG
rnacentral:rRNA from 1 species